CAUUGCAGKCCGUGGAGAACAUCCAGGACCACUCCUGUCCGAGGGCCGGCUGAAUAAAAACAAACGCCACACUGUUCGUUCCACUUUGWUCCGCACUACGUGUGCCUGUGGYGUA
rnacentral:rRNA from 1 species